UAUAUAUCCCCCGUUAAAUACAAGGAAAAUUGCGCUGCAUGCGGGCGAAAGAUACUCGAACAAAACGACAACCACGAGCCGCGGUAACCACUGCGAUCAGAUUGCAUCGAUUCUGCAAGGCCUUCGACCUGAAUCUUAGAACACGGAGCCCAGAAUCGCGAUUCGCAACUAUAAUCGACGGUUGCGGUCGAGCAAUGGGCAAUUAAUCGGCUUCUAGAGGCGCAAACUCGAGUCAAAAUCGUCGCGGGUUCCUGCCUCAAAAUCGACCCGAAUUUCCGCCGUAAGGCCCAGACUCAGUAUAGUCCACCG